UACAGAGGUCUCAAGCGUUGUUCGGAUUUAUUGGGCGUAAAGGGUGCGCAGGCUGUAUGGUAAGUUUGGUGUGAAAUCCUGGGGCUUAACCCCAGAAUUGCACUGAAUACUGCCGUGCUAGAGGACUGGAGAGGAGAGUGGAAUUCACGGUGUAGCAGUGAAAUGCGUAGAUAUCGUGAGGAAGACCAGUGGCGAAGGCGAAUCUCUGGACAGUUCCUGACGCUCAUGCACGAAGGCCAGGGGAGCAAACGGG
rnacentral:rRNA from 1 species